ACCCAUUCUACGUUCUGGCACAGUUGGACUGUUAUGUUAUGCUAUGUUAUGUAAGAGAAAGACCAGGACCCAUUCUACGUUCUGGCACAGUUGAACUAUGUAAAGGGCUAUUGGUGACAAGUUCAUCCUUGAUGUGAAUAGCUGUGAUGUGAUGCAUUCCAUGUUAUCAUAUGUUUUAAAUGUUUUAUUAUUCUGCUCACUGAGCUCUAGUAGCUCACCCCUCUCCCUAAUCCCCCAGGUUUGCAGGUACAGGGUAGACCAGGAGGUCAGCAAGAGUAUUGAAGUCUUGUUUAUGUAAUAGAUAGAGUGGACAUGAUAAAUGUAUUUGAUGUUAUGUAAAAGUACAGUUUAGACAUGUAAUGUAAUGAGGCUUAUGGAUGAUAGAGGUGUGCUUGACCAUAGAAUGUUGCUAUCCCUUUAAUACAUGAUCCUAGAUGUUUUAUGAUGUUUAUGUAAACCAACUCAACAUAUGUUGUUUUGCCCAUUGGGGCAUUGAUGAGAUCCCACAAAGGGGUCAUGAUUUUGAUUAUGAUUAUGUACAGUGCAUGCACAGGUUGAGUUUGGUGUAUGAUAGAAUGUAUGAAAGGAAAAGUUUUAAUUUUUUUUGUAUGUUGUUGAUCAUGUAUGGGGUUAAACAGGUUUACAGGUUGCAUGUCAGGCUUGCUACGGGUCCCGGCGGCCUUAAACCGACCUGGAUCCUAGCGCCGGUAGCGGCCCGAUUUUCGGGUCGUUACA
rnacentral:lncRNA from 1 species